UUGGGUGGGUCAUUUAGAAAUUUGUGACUUGGAAAUAAGUUGAUUUGUGUUGAGAACAUUGGAAGAAUUGCAUUUAGAAAGAUAUUUAUCUGAAAUGAUUAAAGCUAUGUAUCCAGCAACUGAAGUACCUGUUCUACAAAUUGUUAUGAGACCAAGAGGAAAACGUUUGAUUGGUUAAAAAAAAUAUUCAAACUGCAUGAAAAUAUAUACUUGCAUGUAAAUCAUCAUUUCUUACCAUCACGUUGUUUUUGAGGAAAAAGCACUCUAUGUCAUUAAAUCAAAAGAUCCCUCAUAAAACGGACCUCUUGGGAGAUCUGGAUAAAUGUACUUAUUUUCUUCAUCUCUUAGGAAAUCUGCCACCGUGCCUCUCUUCCGAAUUCUCCACUGCACAGGGCUAUAGACUCGCCCAUGAGAGACAUACAGGAAGAAAUUUUACAAGGCACCUGCAAGCACUAUAGUCCUAUAUUUAAACGAAAAUCAAGACAUUUUAAUCCCACGAAUUUUGAUAACGAGACUGACGAUCCCACUGACGAUCGCACGCUAGAGGAGAUCAAGUAUUCCCAAAGUUUUAGGAAUUUAGAGACUUUCCAAAAGGCUCAGCUUAAACAGAAGCUUCAGAAGGUGCGGAAGAGAGGCGAAGACAGGGGAAGAUCAAGGUACCCACAUCUGGGGUUUCGCUAGUUUCGCAUGCACAAUAAAGCUCCUCUCUGGAACGAGAACAUUCAAGUAUACCAGCUGGACUUUGGGGACGGGUCAAUUAAGAAUCGGCCAAAAACUUCCAGAUCGAGUUCCGAAGUCGUCAGGUAAUGUAGUUUGGUAGGAUUGGGAGUAAUGUGUACACCCUGGAUUUCCAGUAUCCGUUCACUGCGUUACAAACGUUCUCUCUAGCGUUAGCUAACGUGACGCAACGACUGAAAUAGAAAGGGACACGGGGGAGGUUGGGGGGUAAAUAGACACACUCCAACCAAAAAUAAAUCUUUCUAGAAGCUGGGAUACAUACAUGUCGUACAUAUUUUUUUUCAAUGUAAAGAAUAGAGUUGCAAUAAACACGUAUUUGUAUAAGUGUCUUUUAUAUAAUGUUGGAAUUUUUCAAUGAAAUUAUUUUUUUAUUUUUCAAAAUUAAUGAGAAAUAGUAAAGGAUUAAGUAUAUCUAAAUAAAAACAAAUGUUCUUCACUUUUUCGUACAAUUUGUAACUUAUGAUUGUGAUUCAGCAUUUCAAUAUAUUGUAUAAAUAUACAAAGGGUCUAGCACCUUAGAACCUAUACAAUGGAGUAGAUAGGUAAUUGUGUUAUUUAUAAAGUCUCUUCUCAGCUGGCUGUAUGUUAGGUUAUUUGAAUUAAUCAUGCCCUUUUGGGGCAUUUUUCUAAUUAUUUUUUAAAUCUCAAUAUUAUGCUUGUCUUUUGUUAAAUUGUAAGGAGAUUUAGUUGAAGAAGCUUGCUCGUGUAUGACUUUUAAACAUGUAGAUAUGCCAAGUUACUUUUUGAAUAAAAAUUAUCAAAUCCUGUGU